UCGAAUUACCGAGGGUUGAUGCUGGUAGUCUUUGAUUACAUGUGCUCGCUCUCUUUAAUCAACUUACACAUGUGCACUAUUUUUGAAGGCAGAGGUAAAAGCCUGCCUUUAGAACUCUUAAACUCUUAUUCUAUGUAAUGGAUGCGAUUCUGCCACAAGGCGAAAUUUAAUA
rnacentral:misc_RNA from 1 species